rnacentral:rRNA from 1 species
CGGUGCUUCUUCUGCAGGUACCGUCAUUMGUCGCAGGUAUUAGCUGCMCCGUUUCUUCCCUGCUGAAAGAGCUUUACMACCCSAAGGCCUUCUUCACUCMCGCGGAAUGGCUGGAUCAGGGUUUCCCCCMUUGUCCMAAAUUCCCCACUGCUGCCUCCCGUAGGAGUCUGGGCCGUGUCUCAGUCCCAGUGUGGCUGAUCAUCCUCUCAGACCAGCUACUGAUCGUCGCCUUGGUGAGCCUUUACCUCACCAACUAGCUAAUCAGGCGUAGGCCACUCCAAUAACGCGAGGUUCUUGCGAAUCCCCCGCUUUCCCCCUUGGGGCGUAUGCGGUAUUAGCACAGCUUUCGCUGCGUUAUCCCCCAUUACUGGACAUGUUCCUACGUAUUACUCACCCGUUCGCCACUCGCCACCAGGGUUGCCCCCGUGCUGCCGUUCGACUUGCAUGUGUAAAGCAUUCCGCCAGCGUUCAAUCUGAGCCAUGAUCAAACUCUAAUCGAAUUCCCGCGGCCGCCAUGGCGGCCGGGAGCAUGCGACGUCGGGCCCAAUUCGCCCUAUAGUGAGUCGUAUACAUUYAYG